ensembl:lncRNA
AUGUGUGUGCGAGUCCCGUGCUGGCGUCUCAAAGCUGUGCUGUGAUUAGAGAAAUGACCUCUGGAGGGGGUUGAUUUCAAUGUACCACCAGCCUCUGGGUGUGUAGGAGCCUGUGUGAAAAGCAGUAGCCGGCCAAGUACGCUCAGAUUAAUGCCUGCAGUUAAUACAGCGGCUCUCCCUCACAUAGACCCUGGGCGGGCCAAGGAUCGGGGAAGACAGAGCCAGGGCCCUGGCAUGUUUGGGGCAGUCGGGUCCAUGGGCAGAUCUCCCUCUUGUGAAGUGGUCGAGCAUUGUGCAGAAUGGAAAGGCGCGGUAGCCGUUGCCAGGGGGUUCUAGACUGGGCCAUCGCCCCCUACCCUCUGCAACGACCCUGCGCGGUUCAGCCCUUCCCCGGUCCGCGUGCAGGAGUGCAGCCAUUCGCCCGAGCUGACCACAGCCACGUCGCUCGGACGUGAGGGGGGUCUCCAUGGGCAGGGUCCUAGCAGCGGUCCCCCAGCCCAGGUCGCGCUGUAUGUAAGAUGACCGAGAGCCCGGUCUCUGCUUUGCUGUGCCUAGGGACUUGUGACGUUCUAACGCUGGGUCUUUCUGUGUUUGCUUCGCAGGCGGCUACCCCGUGUGCGCCUCCCGUCAACUCUGAGCUGCCGUCCAACGGGGAGAGCACCGCCAAACAUGUAGACGCCACAGUAAGUGACAUGCCUUCGCGCGUUCAUAUCGAUGCUAGGGAUCGGGCCGAAGGGCGGGAUCCGGAGUCCGAGGCGACCGAGUCUCUGAUGGCUGAAGGGACUCCUGUUCUUCUCCCUGCAUCGGUUUAACGACACCCGUUGUGGUGUGUUGCCCCCAUGCGGGAUUUAUUUUGUUAGCAAGGGAAGACGGAGGCCUGGAGAUUCGGCCCGCUUCCUGGUAAGGAGCCUGGGGAGUAUAGUCCAUCGAGCAAUUUCCUGUCCUGAGAAGUACUAUACUGAGAAGUGCCACUAGAGGGCGACAAUUCACGACCUGCAACUGGUGCAUGACAUGCUAGAUUUGAGGUCUUCUUCCUGAGCUGAAAUCAGAAACUGUCCCCUCGAAUAAGCCGCGGGUUGUGCACCUGCUGUGAAUUGAGCUGAACGGCCGUGCCGCAAGCACCGCGGCUGGGCCAACUGGCUUUGGAAACCAGAGAGCUGAUUUCAGCUUUCUCACGGAUCUGGAAGGCGUCUGGGAGCAUUUCUGCAGAGCCGAGAAAGGGCUGAUCAUUUUAAUUCCCGCUGCAUCCUGGGGGCCAGGUGGGAGGGGCAGUUGCCUGGCUGAAGACCCACGCUGGAGGUUCUAUGGAGUCUGGCCAGCACUAGGAAUCUCCUGGGAGAUGAUCACCUUGCAUAAGCUGCUACUGAAGUUCUCUCUAAAUAGACCCAUCCAAUCUUCUGUGGUUCUCCCAGCACCAUGAGCCUAUACCCCCAUCUCCCCAGACGAGAGUGCGUUGGAACCUGGCUCCGCUGCUGUGGGCCUAACGAUCCAGCCCAAACAAAUUAACUAGAGCUAAAUCAUGUGGAAUUAAACUGAACAAGGCUUCUGUUUGCAGCAGCAAAACAGCCCUUUGUUGGCACCGGGUUUUUUUCCAUUACGUGAGCAGCUGUAAACAUCCUUGCGGGCGUCUGACUGUAGGAUUAAGGGCUGUUUAUGGCCACGAGGCAGCAGCAAUGCCUGGGGCUGUGCAAUUGAAAUUUGCAUCUGACCUGCGCCACCAUUCCAUAGGGGGCAUCGUUAGUGGCAGCAGAAGCUGCCAAGGGGUGGGGUUGCAGUAGCACCGGGAGGCCCCAUGGUGCCAGGCACUGCCCA